GGUUAGGAUGAACGCUAGCGACAGGCUUAACACAUGCAAGUCGAGGGGUAACAGGGUAGCAAUACCGCUGACGACCGGCGCACGGGUGAGUAACGCGCAUGCAACCUGCCUAUAACUGGGGAAUAGCUCCCUGAAAGGGGGAAUUAACACCGCAUAACACUAUUGAUUCGCAUGGAUUAGUAGUUAAAUGUAGCGAUACAGGUUAUAGAUGGGCAUGCGUGACAUUAGCUAGUUGGUGAGGUAACGGCUCACCAAGGCUACGAUGUCUAGGGGUUCUGAGAGGAAGGUCCCCCCACACUGGUACUGAGACACGGACCAGACUCCUACGGGAGGCAGCAGUGAGGAAUAUUGGUCAAUGGGCGCAAGCCUGAACCAGCCAUGUCGCGUGCAGGAAGAACCUGCCCUAUGGGUUGUAAACUGCUUUUAUAGUAGAAGAAACACAUCUACGUGUAGAUGUCUGCCAGUAUACUAUGAAUAAGCAUCGGCUAACUCCGUGCCAGCCGCCGC
rnacentral:rRNA from 1 species